UCCUACGGGAGGCAGCAGUGGGGAAUCUUGCGCAAUGCGCGAAAGCGUGACGCAGCAACGCCGCGUGGAGGAAGACGGUCCUCGGAUUGUAAACUCCUUUCAGUUGGGACGAAGCUCAACGGGUUAAUAGCCCGGUGGAGUGACGGUACCUUCAGAAGAAGCCCCGGCUAACUACGUGCCAGCAGCCGCGGUAAUACGUAGGGGGCUAGCGUUGUCCGGAAUCGUUGGGCGUAAAGCGCGUGUAGGCGGUCCGGUAAGUCCGCUGUGAAAGUCGGGGGCUCAACCCUCGAAUGCCGGUGGAUACUGUCGGGCUAGAGUGCGGAAGAGGCGAGUGGAAUUCCUGGUGUAGCGGUGAAAUGCGCAGAUAUCAGGAGGAACACCAAUUGCGAAGGCAGCUCGCUGGGACGUUACUGACGCUGAGACGCGAAAGCGUGGGGAGCAAACAGGAUUAGGUACCCUGGUAGUCCACGCUGUAAACGAUGGGCUCUAGGUGUGGGGGGUGUCGACUCCCUCCGUGCCGAAGCUAACGCAUUAAGUGCCCCGCCUGGGGAGUACGGCCGCAAGGCUAAAACUCAAAGGAAUUGACGG
rnacentral:rRNA from 1 species